rnacentral:rRNA from 1 species
UGGAGCAUCAGAUGUCGCUGAAGGUUGAUUCUGAAGGCGAAGAUUGAACGCUGGCGGAUGCUUUACAUGGUCAGGCAACACGGACGCUUCGGUCUGGUGGCGAGUGGCGAACGGGUGGUAAUGUAUCGGAACAUGCGCCUGGUAGCGGCGGGGAUAACUACGCGAAAGCGUAGCUAAUAUGCGCCCAUCAGGAAGAAAGCGGGACCUUCGGGCCUCAUAACGAAGCGGCCAUUAUCGGAUUAGCUGGUUAAUGGUGGGGUAACGGCUCACCAGAGCGACGAUCCGUAGCCGUUUGAAGAGGACGACCAGCCACACUGGGACUGAGCCACGGCUGGGCUCUACAGGAGGCAGCAGUGAGACACACGGAUGUGGAAACCUGAUCCAGCCAUCCGCAGUGUGCGAUGAAGGCCUUCAGGUUGUAAGCACUUUGGCAGAAAAAGCAACGCGGAUAUGCGCGCCGAUACAGCGGCCGACACCGCAGAAUGGCUGCAGCCAACUACGUGCCAGCAGCCGUGGUAAUACGGCUGACGCAAGCGUUAAUCAAGAUACUAUGGGCGUAAAGCGUGCGCGACGGAACGGAAAGAAAGAUGUAGAAAUCAGGCUUAACUUUGAACUGCAUUUUUAACUACCAUGCGAGCUAGAGGUGUCAAGAGGAGGUGGAACUGCCGCGUCAGCAGUGAAAUGCGUAGAUAUGCGGAGGAACACCGAUGGCGAAGGCAGCCUCACAGGAUGCUGACGCUCAUGCACAGCGUGGGGAGGCAAACGGGAUUAGAUACCCUGGUAGUCCACGCCCAACGUAUCAACUGCUUCUUGGGCCUUCCGGGCCUUGGUAGCGCAGCUAACGCGUGAAGUUGACCGCCUGGGGAGUACGGUCGCAAGAUUAGAAACUCAAAGGAAUUGACGGGACCCGCACAAGCGGUGGAUGAUGUGGAUUGGCAAUUCGAUGCAACGCGAAAAACCUUACCUACCCUUGACAUGUCUGGGUCGAAGAGAUUUGGGAGUGCUCACAAGAAGAACCGGAACACAGGUGCUGCAUGCUCGUGUCAGCUCGUGUCGUGGAUGUUGGGUUAAGUCCCGCAACGAGCGCAACCCUUGUCAUUAGUUGCUACGAAAGGGACGCUCUAAAUGAGAUAUAGUGACAACCGGGAAGAAGAGUGGGGAUGACGUCAGAAUCCUCAUGGCCCUUAUGGGCGAGACCACCACGUCAUACAAUGGUCGGGACAGAGGAAUUCGCCAACCCUUGCGAGGCCAAUCCCGAAACCCGAUCAUGAGUCGGAUCGCAGUCUGCAACUCGACUACGUGAAGUCAGGUAUGGUAAUCGCCGGAUCAGCAUGUCGCGGUGAAUACGUUCCCGGGUCCAAUACACACCGCCCGUCACACCAUGGGAGUGGUUUUACCAGAAGUAGUUAGCCUAACCGUAGGAAGGCGAUUACCACGGUAGGAUUCAUGACAGGGGUGAAGUCGUAACAAGGAUGCAG